AGUGAACGCUGGCGGUAGGCCUAGCACAUGCAAGUCGAACGGCAGCACAGUAAGAGCUUGCUCUUACGGGUGGCGAGUGGCGGACGGGUGAGGAAUACAUCGGAAUCUACUUUUUCGUGGGGGAUAACGUAGGGAAACUUACGCUAAUACCGCAUACGACCUACGGGUGAAAGCAGGGGAUCUUCGGACCUUGCGCGAUUGAAUGAGCCGAUGUCGGAUUAGCUAGUUGGCGGGGUAAAGGCCCACCAAGGCGACGAUCCGUAGCUGGUCUGAGAGGAUGAUCAGCCACACUGGAACUGAGACACGGUCCAGACUCCUACGGGAGGCAGCAGUGGGGAAUAUUGGACAAUGGGCGCAAGCCUGAUCCAGCCAUACCGCGUGGGUGAAGAAGGCCUUCGGGUUGUAAAGCCCUUUUGUCGGGAAAGAAAAGCAGCAGGUUAAUACCCCGCUGUUCUGACGGUACCCAAAGAAUAAGCACCGGCUAACUUCGUG
rnacentral:rRNA from 1 species